GUGACCUCAAAUCAGGUAGGACUACCCGCUGAACUUAAGCAUAUCAAUAAGCGGAGGAAAAGAAACUAACAAGGAUUCCCUUAGUAACUGCGAGUGAAGCGGGAAAAGCUCAAAUUUAAAAUCUGACGGUCUUUGGCUGUCCGAGUUGUAAUCUAGAGAAGUGUUAUCCGCGCUGGACCGUGUACAAGUCUCCUGGAAUGGAGCGUCAUAGAGGGUGAGAAUCCCGUCUUUGACACGGACUACCAGGGCUUUGUGAUGCGCUCUCAAAGAGUCGAGUUGUUUGGGAAUGCAGCUCAAAAUGGGUGGUAAAUUCCAUCUAAAGCUAAAUAUUGGCGAGAGACCGAUAGCGAACAAGUACCGUGAGGGAAAGAUGAAAAGAACUUUGGAAGAGAGUUAAACAGUACGUGAAAUUGCUGAAAGGGAA
rnacentral:rRNA from 1 species